rnacentral:rRNA from 1 species
AGUGAACGCUGGCGGUAGGCCUAACACAUUUAAGUCGAACGGCAGCACAGUAAGAGCUUGCUCUUACGGGUGGCGAGUGUCGGACGGGUGAGGAAUACAUCGGAAUCUACUUUUUCGUGGGGGAUAACGUAGGGAAACUUACGCUAAUACCGCAUACGACCUACGGGCGAAAGCAGGGGAUCUUCGGACCUUGCGCGAUUGAAUGCGCCGAUGUCAGAUUAGCUAGUUGGCGGGGUAAAGGCCCACCAAGGCGACGAUCCGUAGCUGGUCUGAGAGGAUGCUCAGCCACACCGGAACUGAGAGACGGUCCAGACUCCUACGGGAGGAAGCAGUGGGGAAUAUUGGACAAUGGGCGGAAGCCUGAUCCAGCCCAACCGCGUGGGUAAAGAAGGCCUUCGGGUUGUAAAGCCCUUUUGUUGGGAAAGAAAAGCAGCAGGUUAAUACCCCGCUGUUCUGACGGUACCCAAAGAAUAAGCACCGGCUAAGUUCGUG